UGGGGAAUUUUGGACAAUGGGGGAAACCCUGAUCCAGCCAUCCCGCGUGUGCGAUGAAGGCCUUCGGGUUGUAAAGCACUUUUGUCAGGAAAGAAACGUCAUGGGUUAAUACCCCGUGAAACUGACGGUACCUGCAGAAUAAGCACCGGCUAACUACGUGCCAGCAGCCGCGGUAAUACGUAGUGUGCAAGCGUUAAUCGGAAUUACUGGGCGUAAAGCGUGCGCAGGCGGUUCGGAAAGAAAGAUGUGAAAUCCCAGAGCUCAACUUUGGAACUGCAUUUUUAACUACCGGGCUAGAGUGUGUCAGAGGGAGGUGGAAUUCCGCGUGUAGCAGUGAAAUGCGUAGAUAUGCGGAGGAACACCGAUGGCGAAGGCAGCCUCCUGGGAUAACACUGACGCUCAUGAACGAAAGCGUGGGGAGCAAACAGG
rnacentral:rRNA from 1 species